rnacentral:rRNA from 1 species
GACGAACGCUGGCGGCGUGCCUAACACAUGCAAGUCGAACGGACGAGGAGGAGCUUGCUUCUCCAAGUCAGUGGCGGACGGGUGAGUAACGCGUGAGUAACCUGCCCUUCAGAGGGGGAUAACGUCUGGAAACGGACGCUAAUACCGCAUGACAUAUUUCCAUCGCAUGGUGGAGAUAUCAAAGGAGCAAUCCGCUGAAGGAUGGACUCGCGUCCGAUUAGAUAGUUGGCGGGGUAACGGCCCACCAAGUCGACGAUCGGUAGCCGGACUGAGAGGUUGAACGGCCACAUUGGGACUGAGACACGGCCCAGACUCCUACGGGAGGCAGCAGUGGGGGAUAUUGCACAAUGGGCGAAAGCCUGAUGCAGCAACGCCGCGUGAGGGAAGACGGUUUUCGGAUUGUAAACCUCUGUUCUAAGUGACGAACAAAUGACGGUAG